rnacentral:RNase_P_RNA from 1 species
GGCCCCGCGGUGCUUUGAGACAGACUCACGGCCGGCGAUCGCUGAGUCCAAUGGGUGAGGUGGGGCACCGCCCUACAACCCAAUUCAGACUACUCUCUCCCGGA